UCCACCUUUCUUUCAGCUUUGGCUUCUCGAUUGGUUCUGAACUCCCAGGAAGGUGAAAAAGCAGCGUCAUUACUUAGCACCGGAAGCCCCGGCACUCAACAGGGAUACUGUGCAGUCCUGCAUGUGAGCAGCUCAAGAGUUCUUUUCAAGUGAGACCUGCUGCUAGGAGAGAAGUAAGCUGACAGCACCCAGCAACCACACUGUUGAGAACCCCUGUGGCAUCAUGUUCCUGCUGAGGCCGGCCACUUUCUUGCCAAACUACUUGCAGCCAGUGACUGAGCAUGGGAAAGCGAGACCCUAGAGCCCAGCUAUUCCUGCCCAGUGCAGGACUCCUCCAGACUUCCAGACUGCACUGCAGACUGAGGCACUUCCUAGCUGAGCCUCCUUCUUUUCUUCUCUCCUUUCAGCUGCUCCUGCUCCAUUGCCCAUUUCUCUCACCUUUAUCCUGCACUUCUGCUUCCAUCUUGGCAUCUUCUUCCCUCAAGACCCAACCUGACACCAUCAGUAUUAUUACACUCUUCAUUUCCCAGUGGAGGAGGUGGGGAUCCAGGCAAGAAAGACAAAGCGUAAAUAUGCUCCCUUUAAAAUUUUGUACUGCUCUAUCGCUUCUGGGUCUUUGGGCUAAGAUCAAGUGUAAAAGUUUGUACUACUCUUAGGUUUGAGGUUCACAUGAAAAGAACAUCUCAUCAACAUUUCAAAAGAAAAUUUGAAUGAAUUGUAUGUUGUACUAGUGUGUAAAAGAGAGACCGUGUCAUUU
rnacentral:lncRNA from 1 species